GCCAUGAGAAGUACUUCCUGGUUCAGUGCUGCAUAGUGUGCAGUACUGAUGUUCAGCGUCUCCACACUCUGCUUGGAGGUGCUACUCUUUCUCCAUAGAGAAGCAUUGAUUCAAUGCAUCUCUAUGAGAAGAUGUUGAUUGUAGCAGAGCAGUGUUUUGAUGUGCAUGCGCAAUAGCCUAUGGGAAAGCAUCUGAUUGGCUGAAAUCAUCAGGUUUGAUCUCAGCAAAGGGGGCGCAGCAUGGAUGGGGUAGCCACGAACAGAC